rnacentral:lncRNA from 1 species
UUACCUCUUGAGGCCUUCUAUCAGCCUCGAGCUUCGAUGGUUCAUCUUCUUUCCAAGAUUUAAUCAACACCGUCGAAAAUAAUUGGUUGCUCAACUUUCUAUGCAAAGGAAAAGGAAAUAUAUAAGAAAUAAUGUACACAGAUUUGGCAUGAUCCGUCCGUGGUAAAUCUUUGUUACUCUGUAUCAUAGGCAAGUAUUUGUCUAUUUAUGUAUCCUUAUACAAAUUGAGUACUCUAAGGAAAAACUCUUGCAUUAAGUGGAAUUUUUUUUUUUUGAGUUACAUCAAUAUAAAUGUGCUUCUUGACCCUCGAGAAAAAAAUCUACAUGCAUUUGAAAGAUGGUUAGAGUCCAUGUUAGAUGACUACCUUAACAGUUUCGUCUUUUCAAGUGAGUUAAUCCAUUUUCUGAUCCUCAGGGUUAUCGUGAUUACAAAUCGUAUCGAGGAUCGACAUAGGUUACAAUAUCGUAAAACAAAUUUUUCUAUCAGGUAAACUAGAAAUCAAGUAAGUAAAUAAUCAUGGAUCGUUACCACACGAAUGCAUUGUGUAGUGGAAGAAGGUGCUAAAAAGCCGAAGUAAUAUAGCGAUCUGACGCACAUUGAUGUAGAGGAAUUAGUCGAACAAUGUAGCCUAACCUUCUCCUUUACAUGCAUAUACCUCACGACGCAAUUGCGCCGAUCAACACCCCUCUACUGGUAUCCACACGUACGGGACGAAACGCCAUGUGCAGAUGUGCUAACAUCCGAGUGCAGCUAGAGGUUUGGCUCGGAGGAGGACGAUUAAGGUUUUCUCAUGCAACGAACCACCCUUCUCGUCCCUGUAUAUAUAAGACCCGAAACUGGGCCUCCAAGACCCACAUGAGUCCUACUCGGAUCCAUAUCCAAACCGAGUCUGUAUUGGAUCAACAUCCAAUUCCCUUAUCCUAGCCCAUUAAGUAUGUGACUCAUAGGUUCAUGAAUACUCGGUUAAAAUCCAAAAACUUCUUUUUAGUCCACAACCAGUAGUGGCUUCUAGCAGAACAUAGUGACCUACCAAGUAAACAUAAAGAUUGCAUUGGCUAAACCUACAGUGUAUCUUUAUAUCAAUCCAUUUACAUUAUGAUAUCGAUUAAGAUUAAGGCUAGAUAUGUGUCAUCCUUUCAAUAAUUAAUCAUUCACUCGAUCCUAUAAUAGAUUAUUUAACUUGUAAUUGACUCCUCAAUCACCUUUGGCAUGACCCAUGCACUUCCAUAAUCUAUAACUCCGAG